AAAAUUGGAGAGCGGCAAAACUCCCGGUCUCAAUUCACACACCUCACAUUUCAGUCUCCACACACUCAGCUCACUCACCUCUUUUACACUCACCUCUCUUCUCAAACUCCCCUCACUCACCUCUCCGGCACUUUUGACGACAACUGAAUCGGGGUCUCUCUCAAUGGAUUUCACCUUUAUUAGGGCUUUUUUGUUUCGGAUCUUCAGUUGUGGGCUUCGAUUUAAAGCUUCUUAAUUCAUUCACUGAAAUUAGGGCUUGAGAUUUAUAGUUUCUUACAAUUUAUUUAAGAGAUUCGAAUUAUGAGUUUCACUUUAACGUUGUUAAUUUAGUGUCUCUGUUUGUUUCAAGGCUUCAAUCAGAUUGGGCUCCAAUCCAAUCAGGACUUCCAUCAAAUUAGGGCUUUUCACUUUAAUGGGGGCUUCAAAUUGCUUGGAUUGUGAUUUAAGAUACACUCCUCUCUCAUAUAUUUGCUUGUAAGUAUGUAUCUUUGUUCUCUAAAAUCUAUGUUUGAUUUUAAAUAUAUGUGAUUCUGUGUAUAUGAGUUUUGGUUUGUUCUAUGUUGUCUUUGUCUAUCUCUCUCAUUCUCUUCCCCUCCCUCUCCUACUCUGUCUCCCCCUCUCUCUUACACACACAUUUAAUUUACUAUUUUACUUGCUAAUAUACACACACACACUCUACUACUCUGUUUCUCUUGUACAGAUUCUAUUAUGUGUAUUAUGUAUAUUUGUUAUUUUUAUUAUAUUGAUACUAAAAUAAUCUCAAGUGCUUGACAAGCUUGAUCGAUAAUAUGAGCUCUGCCAGACCUCAGUUUCCUACCAAAGAGUACAUGAAAACACAGAUCAAACUAUCUGACCCUAUACACUAAUACACCAGUUAUCACUGGAGAAAUCGGUGCGCGAAAAUCUUCAAACCCGUGCUUCCCUUCACGGGGAGUCAUUUAAUUUCUCCAUUGGUAAAAUGCAUCCUGCAACUUUUGCUCAUCAUAUUUACUAUCUUUCAGGAAAGACUUUAUGUUAUUCUAAAAUAGGGAGAACAGUCAAACAACUGUUAUUGGUUGUCCUGGCGAACCAAUCUAGACAGGCUACAACACCAAAUUUGGAACAGAAGCUUGAAAAAUUAGCUCCUGCAGAUGCUGUUGCUGGUUUGAUUGCUCCCUAUUUUGUGGAAAGGGAAAGCCUAAGCCGUUAAUGGAUCAACCUAACAGAGUCAAAGACUUGACUGUUCCAGAAUUUGGAACUCUCCAAGCUUGGGAAGUGCGAGCAAAAUGCAAGAAUAUGUUUAUUUAUAUAAUAGUGUAGUGUACUGUGAUGUUUGGUUGGAUUUGUUUAAUACUUUGAUUUGGUUGGAUUUGUUAGGUAGUUUGGUUUGGUUGGAUUUGUUAUAAACUUUGAUUUGUAUGAAAGAAUAGUUUAAUGUUGCAGUUGAUAUAGUAAAAUAUUGCAAAAUUGUUAUUUGA